AUUUAUAAUAAUAAAUUUAGAUUUUAAUUUCCCGAAGCUGGGCGAGCUAAAAAAAAAAUAUAUUAGUUAAUAAAUUAAAUGUAGCAUUAUUUACUUAUUAUUUUUUUUUAGGGGUGAUAGGCCUUUCAAGCUAAGCGAUAUCUGGAUAAUUAGGAAAAAUAUUUAGUAUAUUUAUAGUUUAGAAAUGGUAAGGUUUCUAAAAAGUAUUAUUAAUAAUAAAUAAUUAGUUAAAUGGAUAAAUCCUUAAAUUUUAAUGACGCUAACAUUAUAUAUAUAAGAAUAUAUUUUUUACUAGUUUUUUUUUUAGAAUUAUUACUUAAAUUAAAAUUGUAUAUAUUAGUAUAUUAUUUAUAUUUUAAAAAGGAACUCGACAAAAAAUUUUCUAGACUGUUUACCAAAAACAUAGCUCCAAGAAUUUAUUUAGGGUGAAUCCUGCUCAAUGAAAUUUUAAAUAGCCGCAGUGCCUUGACUGUGCAAAGGUAGCAUAAUCAAUUGGCUUAUAAUUGAAGUCUGGAAUGAAUGGAUUAACUGGAAAUAAUUGUCUAUUAUAAAUUAAAAGAAAUUACUUAAUAAGUGAAAAUUCUUAUAUAUAUAUAAAAGACAAGAAGACCCUAGAAAUUUUUUAUAAAUUUCGUAUAGAUAUUUUGUUGGGGCGACAAGGUAACAAUUAACUUACUUAUUUUUUUUUGUAUUAUAUAUAAGGAAUAUCUAAAUUACUCUAGGGAUAACAGCAUUAUUUUUUUAAAAGUUUGUGACCUCGAUGUUGGACUAGGAAAAUUUUUAUUUAGAAGAUAAAUAUAUAGGCUCUGUUCGAGCUUUUUCUCCUACAUGAUCUGAGUUCAGACCGG
rnacentral:rRNA from 1 species